AUUGAACGCUGGCGGCAUGCCUUACACAUGCCAGUCGAACGGUAACAGGUUAAGCUGACGAGUGGCGAACGGGUGAGUAAUGUAUCGGAACGUGCCCAGUCGUGGGGGAUAACUGCUCGAAAGAGCAGCUAAUACCGCAUACGACCUGAGGGUGAAAGCGGGGGAUCGCAAGACCUCGCGCGAUUGGAGCGGCCGAUAUCAGAUUAGGUAGUUGGUGAGGUAAAGGCUCACCAAGCCGACGAUCUGUAGCUGGUCUGAGAGGGCGACCAGCCACACUGGGACUGAGACACGGCCCAGACUCCUACGGGAGGCAGCAGUGGGGAAUUUUGGACAAUGGGCGCAAGCCUGAUCCAGCCAUGCCGCGUGCGGGAAGAAGGCCUUCGGGUUGUAAACCGCUUUUGUCAGGGAAGAAAAGGUUCUGGCUAAUACCUGGGACUCAUGACGGUACCUGAAGAAUAAGCACCGGCUAACUACGUG
rnacentral:rRNA from 1 species